AGGUUUGUUUCCCGGUCCUGUUUGCUGUAACAUAUCAACCACUGCUCAGAAAAUGCGGCUAUUUGCCUAAGAAAUUCUGAACUGAGAAACUGCUGGUUUGGGGAAAUUAUUUCACAUCUCAAUGUCCAAGAUGUUGACUGAGUUCUAAAGAAUCUAAAGAAAUUAACUCAUUACUCAAGAGAAUGAUGACCGGAGACCAACCAGAAAAAAAAAUCUAUGGACAGAGAAAAGAGCAGGAAUACAUCAGAAAGUAGAUGCAACCCGAGCCUAACACUCAGAUCUGAUACUUCCACCGGGAAAUCAUUCUACCAGAGAACACUGCUUAGGUGCUACCAACUUCAGCUGUGAGGUCAGCAAAACCCAAUCUUACUGAAGCUAGAAACCCUG